AUGGAAGUUUGAGGCAAUACCAGGUCUGUGAUGCCCUUAGAUGUCCUGGGCCGCACGCGCGUUACACUGAUGCACUCAACGAGUAUAUAACCUUGGCCGAGAGGCCUGGGUAAUCUUGUUAACUUGCAUCGUGAUAGGGAUAGAUUAUUGCAAUUAUUAAUCUUGAACGAGGAAUUCCUAGUAAUCGCAGUUCAUCAAACUGCAAUGAUUACGUCCCUGCCCUUUGUA
rnacentral:rRNA from 13 species